rnacentral:tRNA from 1 species
AGAUCGAAUGGUUAAAUA